UUCCUCUUGAAGCAAGAUUUUUAAAUUGAUGUAUAUGUGGCCAAAACUAAAGGGACAAGGCAAGGCUAUAUGCUAGGGGUCAAUUUGCAGAGAAUUGCAGGUUAUGACGGGUUGUUUAGUGGCCUUUGGAAGCCCAAGAAAUCCUUUGCUUUCCAAAAGGCCUCAAGUCUUAGGAAGUUUAUUUAAACACCUAGAAGGGGGUAGUUUUGAACUAUGGAGAAAAUUUACAAGAGGAGAAGAAAAUCUAAGGAAAACCAGCAUCUCUACUGAUCUUCUAAAGCCUAAGUUUUGAGGCCUGAUUUCGGUGAUUUUGUUGCCUUGGGGAGACUUAAAGAAUGUCAAAGGGGACCACAAAAAGCUAGAAGCAAAUCCGAAAAAUUGGGACCUAGCAAGGGAAAGGCGGUGAUGGUGGAUGAAUCUUUGUUGGAUGCGGAUGAUGGGUCAUGUUAGGCCAAAAGAGUGUCUUGUUUUGAGAAGCCUAGCUAACAGUGGGUUUAGUUCCAAAUUCUUGCUUGUUUCUGGUUAUUUGGGACAUGGGUCAAAUAGAUAUGUUGUCGGUUUGUAAUAAUUAUGUGUGAGGUGAAUGAAUUUUAAGCUUGAAGUUGAAAUUUUUGACUAUUUUGCUGGGAAAUGGAUUUUUUUUGAAAAAUUUCCUUCCAUCCUAAGACCUCAUAAUAUCUCUAUAAUGGUCCUAAGAUUCCAACAUGUAACUUGAUCGAGAUUCAAGUACCCUCUGUUGUCUAUUUUUGAGAUUUUAGUUUUUGACAAGCGAAGGACAGUAAAACUUGGAUCCCACCUAAGGUGCCCAAAUCUUUAGGGGCGUAGCCACCCUUUAGUUUAGCCAAUGGCUGCAGUUGUAACCGAGGGUUACAUUGACACUCUAAAUGUGGGACCAGGGGCACCACAGUGGUGGAUAAGAAGACAUUGACAGUCUAGACACACAUGCGUUGUUCAUGCAUUGAGAUAUUCAUGAAUUAGAGUUAAAAGAGUUAUAUAUGUGUAUGCUAGAGGAAACUUAUAGAUACCCAAUGGGGUCAAGUAGAGUGUGUUGCCAAAGUUGUGGUUAUGGAGAGUGUGGUAAAAUAGUGUGGUGAAGUCAUCUAUAUUGGUGAAAUGAGAUGACAAGUUAGAAGAGUAUAGUUUUUUCUCUAUUUCUUCCCAACUAUUACUUGUUUGUAUGUGUUUCCAACAAAUUGGUAUCACACUGUUAAUAGGCAUAACAAAUACCAUGCUUAGGUCUUGCCUUACAAAUUAGAGAUGUUCAUGUUAAGGAGAGAGAUAUCCUGCUUGUAUCAUCCAUGGGCACCAGCCCAAAGAGAUGAACUGAGUUCAAAAAAGAAGGGAAAAUAAAAAAUAAAAAAGGCUACACCAGUUGCAACCUAAGCAGGCAAAAGAAGAAGCUAUUGAUUGCUAAAAGAUGUAAAAAGUGACGCUAUGUAUCAUAACUGGGUGAAACAUAAAUUGCAGCUUACCUCAAAUUCUGUAGACCCCACCACAAACAGUAGCAGUAUUUAGAGAAGAACUCCUCAUUUGCCACAAUACCAGAUGAUAGAGCAU